rnacentral:rRNA from 1 species
AGAGUUUGAUCAUGGCUCAGAGCGAACGCUGGCGGCAGGCUUAACACAUGCAAGUCGAACGGGCGUAGCAAUACGUCAGUGGCAGACGGGUGAGUAACGCGUGGGAACGUACCUUUUGGUUCGGAACAACUGAGGGAAACUUCAGCUAAUACCGGAUAAGCCCUUACGGGGAAAGAUUUAUCGCCGAAAGAUCGGCCCGCGUCUGAUUAGCUAGUUGGUGAGGUAAYGGCUCACCAAGGCGRCGAUCAGUAGCUGGUCUGAGAGGAUGAUCAGCCACAUUGGGACUGAGACACGGCCCAAACUCCUACGGGAGGCAGCAGUGGGGAAUAUUGGACAAUGGGCGAAAGCCUGAUCCAGCCAUGCCGCGUGAGUGAUGAAGGCCCUAGGGUUGUAAAGCUCUUUUUGUGCGGGGGAAGAUAAUGACGGUACCGCAAGAAUAAGCCCGGCUAACUUCGUGCCAGCAGCCGCGGUAAUA